ensembl:lncRNA
CAGAAGACAGGUGUGGGGGUAGUGGCUCUAAGGACUGGAUUGGAUCUAAGGGUUGGAUUUGGCUGAGGUCCAGGAGAGGGACUGGAGAGAGCCAGAAUCUUGCUUUAGAGCGGGACGUGCCCUCUGGCUCUCAUGAACAAGUGAGGUUUGGUUCCAGCACACUUUGUAAACUCCCUGGGCUGUGACAAUAUUAAGAGACUAGUGAUGAAAUCAGUAAUUUUCCAGCAACUUACCUUGGUUUCCUGUCCUCUUUAUAGUCCUAAUCUCCAUCCAUGGAGCACUGCAAGUCGAAGGAGCAGAACACCCAGCAACAUCAUCUGAGAAAUGAAUGGAUAUGCUGGAGCAGGGGUCGAGGGGACUGUCCCCUUUGCCGUGACACCCUCCAGUUCUCUUUGGGGACUCAGGGAUCUGCCGAGCAUUGCUUGGGGUCGGAUUGGGAACUGUGGCUUUGGACACACGUUUGCCUGUACCAACCAGGGAUGAGACGGUCUUGGAUUUUGCAAGGACCUGACAUGUGCAGAGAAGAGUACCUGGAACCCUUAAUCGACUGGCUCUGGCAGGCUGCUGAGGGCAAGAGAGCACGAGGGGUAUUACGAAAGGAAAGUGAAAGCGGGAUGGGUGGACGAGAGUCCAGGCCGACUGUUCUUGGAUGCAUGAUUAAAAAGUUCAGGAAGGGCUUUGGAGACGACUCUGGCGUAAAGUUAACCCCAAACAAGCUGGAAAACCUUUUGUGAGAUAGACUGGCCAUCCUUUGGGGGUAGGAUGGCCCUCAGAGGGAAUCCUAAAACUGAACCGAGUUUGGGCUGUGUGCUCUGUGGUAACCAGGCAGCCAGGCCACCCAGAUCAGUUUCCAUACAUUGACUCAGGGCUACUAAUUGCGCAAAACCCAUCCCCUUGGGGCCUGGGUUUGUUACCUUAAAAAAGAAGAGAGCAAGAUUUUGCUGUCUCAGGCAGAACCCAGGCAAGAAAACCUGAAAAAGAAAAGAAAAGAAAAAACGUGUAUAUAUAUCAUGAUCCAGAGGAAGAGGAGCUCCCAUCUCCUCUCCUCCACUGGAGAACACAGCAGCGACUCCCAGAGCAGGAGGAGGAGGUAAGGAAAGAGGGAGAGUCUCCUCCCCACCUCCCCUGGUGGAGGAGGCUCCUUGAGUCGAUGGAAGGGACUGUGCCAGUGUUAUAUCCCUCCCUCCGCAGUUCAGGAAGGAAAAAGGGAGAGCCGAGUGUUCAGAGGCGGCUGAGGUCUACAAAAAACCCUGAGAGAGAGGUUUUGCAGAUGCCUCUUAGGGAAGUCCAGGUGGCACCGCAGGUGGGGUCAGAUGGGCACAUUCAUCCUGGUCCCACUGCUCUUUAUGGCCAGCCAUUCUCCGUAUAUAAGGAAAGGGGGCUCUUAACUGCAACUGACAAAGAGAUUAAAAAAUGAAUAAAUAAAGAGAAAGUUCUGCUGCUGUUGGAAGCAGUGUGGGAGCCCGCUGCAGUAGCUGGAAUGCACUGUAGGGGCCACCAGUGGUUGGACACACCUCAGGCUGAAGGGAACUGUCUGGCCAACCCAGUGGCCAAAGCAAGCAGCCGCUCAGGACCAUAUAGCAACCAAACGUAUGGUGACGCCUGUGUUGUCUAGCCUAUUAACCACCCAAGCAGGCCCAGUCUAUGACAAGGCGAAAAAAACACCACCUGGGCACGAACUGAGUGAGGUUUCAGCUUGCUAUUUUUCAUACUGUGUCUAAUAGCCUUGUGUGCAGAUGCAAGCCGCUGAUGCGUAACCUGUGCCAAGAAUAACCCGUCUCCCAAGGAGACCGUGCCUCCCGGAAUACAAUUAAAGGGGACUGCUCCAUUUAAACUUCUUGAAGUGGACUUCACUGAGGUAAAGCCAUGCUGAGGAUACAAAUAUUUGCUGGUGAUGGGAUGCACUUUUACGGGAUGGGUAGAAGCUUACCCCACCAAGACUGAAAAAGCGAAAGAAGUGGCCUGAUUCUUCCUGGGAGACAUUAUUCCUAAGUUUGGGUUCCCUCUGAGUAUAGAAUCAGAUAAUGGGACCGCAUCUGUGGCUGAAUUACUCCAACUAGUCUGCAAAGCAGUAAAUAUUAAAUGGAAAGUACUUACAGUGUACAGGCCACAAAGCUCAAGACUGGUUGAGAGAAUGAACCAGACCAUCAAGGUGACUUUGGCAAAAUGGGUGCAGGAAACUGGUGACCCGCUGGAUGGACCCCCUGGAUGGAUGUGCUGCCACUAGUGUUAACGAGGAUCAGAAUGACCACCGCAAGGUUAUUCCCCCUAUGAAAUAAUGUUCGGGAGGCCUCCCCCACUUAUUCAGGAAGUAAAGGGAAAUUUAUUACAAAGAGGAGGGAUGGAGGUAUUGGCGGCAACUGGAACAGUUGGGAAAGGUGAUCCAUGACAUCACCCCUUAUGUUCAAAAAAAUUGCCCUUUUUUGCGAUACUUACUGUGCACCCAUACUCGCCAGGACAUUUAGUAUGGAGAAAGGACUGGAAGCAACAGCUGCUGUCCAUGCACCCCCACCCACCCACCUCACCCCUGGAAAGGGCCAUACACUAUUGUACUAGCCACUCCCACUGCAGUUAAAGUUGCAAGUUGCAGGUAUUACUCCCUAGAUUCACCACAUCCAGCUCAAGACAACAGCGGAGGAAAGGGGACUUUGGACCACCCAUCCUAACCCAGGGGAAACUCUGAAGACCCAACUCAUCUUCCAUUGGCAACCAGGGAUUCAGAAUGGAGCCACUAAUUCAUUUCUAGGAAAGUAUCCUGAGGAAAGGGCUUACCCAGUGGCUCAGCAGGUAAAGAAUCUGCCUGUAACUCAGGAGACCCAGGAAACACAAGUUCGAUCCCUGGAAGAUCCCCUGGAAGAGAAAAUGGCAACCCCUUCCAGUAUUCUAGUCUGGGAAAUCCCAGGGAUAGAAGAGCCUGGCAGGCUACAUACAGUGCAUGGGGUCACAAAGAGUCACACACAACCGAGCACAAGCACAGAUGGAUCCUGAGGAAAUCAUUAGACCAUUGCCAUCUAUGAAAGAAAACCAAGCUAUCCAGCGACUAGACUGGCACCAAUUUCACAAUAGAUUGGUGACAUGGUAAAAUAAUGGAACGGGAAAGACCAGAGAUCUCUUCAGGAAAAUUAGAGAUACCAAGGGAACGUUUCAAGCAAAGAUGGGCUCAAUGAAGGACAGAAAUGGUAGGAACCAACAGAAGCAGAAGAUAUUAAGAAGAGGUGGCAAGAAUACACAGAAGAACUAUACAAAAAAGAUAUUCACGACUCAGAUAAUUACAAUGGUGUGAUCACUCACCUAGAGCCAGACAUCAUGGAGGGUGAAGUCAAGUGGGCCUUAGGAAGCAUCACUACAAACAAAGCUAGUGGAGGUGAUGGAAUCCCAGUUGAGCUAUUUCAAAUCCUGAAAGAUGAUGCUGUGAAAGUGCUGCACUCAAUAUGCCAGCAAAUUUGGAAAACUCAGCAGUGGCCACAGGACUGGAAAAGGGCAGUUUUCAUUCCAAUCCCAAAGAAAGGCAAUGCCAAAGAAUGCUCAAGCUACCGCACAAUGGCACUCAUCUCACAUGCUAGUAAAGUAAUGCUCAAAGUUCUCCAAGCCAGGCUUCAGCAAUAUGUGAACUGGAACUUCCAGAUGUUCAAGCUGGUUUUAGAAAAGGCAGAGGAACCAGAGAUCAAAUUGCCAACAUCCACUGGAUCAUGGAAAAGCAAGAGAGUUCCAGAGAAACAUCUAUUUCUGCUUUAUUGACUAUGCCAAAGCCUUUGACUGUGUGGAUCACAAGAAACUGUGGACAAUUCUGAAAGAGAUGGGAUACCAGAUCACCUGAACUGCCUCUUAAGAAACCUGUAGGCAGGUCAGGAAGCAAGAGUUAGAACUGGACAUGGGACAACAGACUGGUUCCAAAUAGGAAAAGGAGUAUGUCAAGGCUGUAUAUUGUCACCCUGCUUAUUUAACUUAUAUGCAGAGUACAUCAUGAAAAACGCUGGGCUGGAAGAAACACAAGCUGGAAUCAAAAUUGCCAGGAGAAAUAUCAAUAACCUCAGAUAUGCAGAUGACACCACCCUUAUGGCAGAAAGUGAGAAGAACUAAAGUGCUUCUUGAUGAAAGUGAAAGAGGAAAGUAAAAAAGUUGGCUUAAAGCUCAACAUUCAGAAAACUAAGAUCAUGGCAUCUGGUCCCAUCACUUCAUGGUGAAUAGAUGGGGAAACAGUGGAACCAGUGGCUGACUUUAGUUUGAGGGGCUCUAAAAUCACUGCAGAUAGUGACUGCAGCCAUGAAAUUAAAAGACACUUACUCCUUGGAAGGAAAGUUAUGACCAACCUAGAUAGUAUAUUCAACAACAGAGACAUUACUUUGCCGACUAAAGUCCGUCUAGUCAAGGCUAUGGUUUUUCCAGUGGUCAUGUAUGGAUGUGAGAGUUGGACUGUAAAGAAAGCUAAUUGCCAAAGAAUUGAUGCUCUUUAACUGUGGUGUUGGAGAAGAUGCUCGAGAGUCCUUUUGAACUGCAAAGAGAUCCAACCGAUCAGUCCCAGGUAUUCACUGGAAGGACUGAUGUUGAAGCUGAAACUCCAAUAUUUUGGCUACCUGAUGCAAAGAGCUGACUCAUUUGAAAAGACCCUGAUGCUGGGAAUGAUUGAGGGCAGGAGGAGAAGGGGAUGACAGAGGAUGAGAUGGUUGGAUGGCAUCACCGACUCAAUGGACAUGAGUCUGUGUGGACUCUGGGAGUUGGUGAUGGACAGGGAGGCCUAGAGUGCUGCAGUCCAUGGGGUUGCAAAGAGUCAGACACUGAACUGACUCAGCGACUGAACUGAACUGAACUGAAAUAUGGUAAUCCAUAAGGAGCAAUACUGCACAGCCUCUUCAAACUGAGUUACUGAGAAAUGUUUAUAGUUAGGUUGCAAUGAUUAAAAGAAUGUAUGCUAUGAAACAGUAUAUGUUGUAUGCUGUCAUAAAAUAUUUUACAUAUACUUGCAAAAUGGCAUCGAUGCAUAGAUUGAAGUCACACGGAAAGUCAUAACGUCAUCAGCAAACUCUAGGCUUCUGUGGAUUGCAGGUGAUCAGAUGUCCUCUGUGUGCUGUUAGGUGUGUGGCAGAGGCCAAGCUCUGGUUAGUCACACUAUGUCAUUUUAUUCAUAAGUAUAUUAACAAGCAGAGACAUCACUUUGACAACAAAAGUCUGCAUAGUCAAAGUUAUGAUUUUUCCAGCAGUCAUGUACAGAUGUGAUUAUAAAGAAGACCAUGAAGAUGUUGGACCACAGAGAAGGCUGAGUGUCAAAGAGUUGCUGCUUCUGGACUGUGGUGCUGGAGAAAACGCUUGAGAGUCCCUAGGACUGCAAGGAGAUCAAAGCCGGCAGUUCUAAAGGAAAUCAGCCCUGAAUAUUCAUCAGAAGGACUGAUGCUGAACCUUAAGCUCCAAUACUUUGGCCACCUGAUAUGAGGAGCUGAUUCAUUGGAAAAGACCCUGAUGCUGGGAAAGACUGAGGGCAGAAGGAAAAAGGGACAACAGAGGAUGAGAUGGUUAGAUAGCAUCACCGACUCAAUGGAUAUGAGCUUCAGCAAACUCUGGGAGAUAGUGAAGGACAGGGAAGCCUGGGGUGCUGUGAGUCCAUGGGGUCACAAAGAGUUGGACAUGACUUAGCGACUGAACAGCAACGGCAACACAAGAAAAUGACAUUUCCCAGCCUCCUUGCUUAUAGGUUAGCCGUGAGAUGAACUCUGGCCAAUGGAAUGUAGGAAAAAUGAUGUACUUGUACACCUGGCUUUAGAAAACCCCGCCCCAUCCAACCCAGCUUAUUGACUGGUCAAUUGUGGGACCCUAAAUGGGAAACCUUAAAAAAGAUGGGUUAGCUUUGAGGUGGGAAACUAAGAUGGUGCCUGGCGGAAGAGAUGGGGCAUGGUCUAUAUUAAAGUUUUUGAUUGGCUCUCUUGAUUUCCGUGCCCAUGGACAGUGCAUGAUCACCAUAGACUCCUGUUAUAAUGAAGGCGCAUGACGAUUUGACCUUUAAUGUGAUUGGUGCAACUAUGGCAUAUUAUGAUUUGACCUUUAAUGUGAUUGGUGCAACUAUGGCACAUGACGAUUUGCCCUUUAACGUGAUUGGUGCAACUAUAGAAAGUCCCUCGCAAACCCCCCUUGCUUGCCUAUAUAAACCAAAAGCUUGCGGCAAUAAAGUGGAACUGCUUAGACGGAAUCCCUGUAGCGUUUGAUUUUCUCUCGCUUGCCUAGGGGCUGGGUUGGCGGACUGCAGGCUCACCUCUCCUUGGCACCGCUCAGCUUUGCUGAGGGAAGUUCCACUGCCUCUCUCUUUCUACGGAGUGCCCCCCGCAGUCAAUGAUGCAAAAGAUCCAUCUAAAUACUUGGGAGCCUUGGGAACAGCAUCAUAGUAAGAUGGGAGCAUCCUGGAUCCCUGAGUCACUGCUUGAAGGGGAGUCACCAAAGAAAGCCAUCCACCUGGGAAUGUCUUUGUUCAACUUGGUGUGGAUGAGAAAUACAGUUUUACUCUGUUAAUCCACUGUGAUUUUGAGGUUGUUACAGGGGCUGAUGACUUAACACAUGUGUUUUCACCUUUCUAUAUUAAAUAUGUAUGUCUUUUGAAAUUAGCCAAGAUGCUAUUAAAAGAAUAUAACUACCCACCCCUCUCUUUGUGCAUGACACCUACUGCUUUAAAGCAUUCAGGAAAAUCUGCAUCCCUUUUUUUUCCCCAGUAUUGGCUGUGCUGGGUCUUUGUUGGGGCAUGUAGGCUUUUCAUUGUGGUGCCUGGGGGGCUUUUCUAGUUACAGUGUACGGGCUUCUCCAGCUGUGGAGCACA